rnacentral:rRNA from 1 species
AGUGAACGAUGGCGGUAGGCCUAACACAUGCAAGUCGAACGGCAGCACAGGAGAGCUUGCUCUCUGGGUGGCGAGUGGCGGACGGGUGAGGAGUACAUCGGAAUCUACUCUGUCGUGGGGGAUAACGUAGGGAAACUUACGCUAAUACCGCAUACGACCUACGGGUGAAAGCAGGGGACCUUCGGGCCUUGCGCGAUUGAAUGAGCCGAUGUCGGAUUAGCUAGUUGGCGGGGUAAAGGCCCACCAAGGCGACGAUCCGUAGCUGGUCUGAGGGGAUGAUCAGCGACACUGGAACUGAGACACGGUCCAGACUCCUACGGGAGGCAGCAGUGGGGAAUAUUGGACAAUGGGCGCAAGCCUGAUCCAGCCAUACCGCGUGGGUGAAGAAGGCCUUCGGGUUGUAAAGCCCUUUUGUUGGGAAAGAAAUCCAGCUGGCUAAUACCCGGUUGGGAUGACGGUACCCAAAGAAUAAGCACCGGCUAACUUCGUGCCAGCCGCCGCCGUAA